GGGGCAUUGGCGCAGUUGGUUAGCGCGCCUCGCUGGCAGUGAGGAGGCCAUCGGUUCGAAUCCGAUAUGCUCCACCA
rnacentral:tRNA from 1 species